CUAGGGGAGCAUCCUGGAGUCGCGCUGGAGCCGGUGGGCGAGCCCCAGGGCCGCGUCCGCCCGAAGCGCACAGGCUCCCCGAGGGGGUUACAGGGAUGGCCUGAUGCAACUACCCUCAUAUAACUGGAACGCCCCGUAAGGACUCUUCUAGAACAACUCCCUCAUCUUACAGAUGUGGAAAAUGAGGCCCGGAGUGCAGAACGACUUGCCCUUGCAAUUGGGGAACCCAAGCUAGGAGAGCACCCCAAGUGGCCCCUCUCCCGGACUAGUUCACUUUCUGGACCGCUGCCUCUGACUCUGCGGAUGCGGAAACUGAAGCUUAGAGAGGUGAAGAGAUCAGCCAUGAUCCCAGAGCUACAAAGUCCGGGCUUCAGUACUGGACCCACAGUGCGAUGGGCGAGCGGCAGCUAAGGGAGGACCGGGAAGGGGUGGGCCAGGCAUUUCCCACGCGGCGGGAGACGCCUGCACAACUCCAGGGGGCGCUGUUCGUACCGCCCCCCCCAGUAUGUGCCCCGCUGGAGACCGGGCUGGGGGCGCAGGGAGGGGAGGAAGGUGCCCCGAUCCUGCUGACAAUCAUCCCCUGGGCCCGGCAUGUCGGGGGCGCCCGCCCGGGUUGGGGUGCCUGGUCCCCCAGCACCGCCCGCGGCCCCUGUUCGGGAAGCUGGGGACCGGGUCCGAAGGCCUUUUCCCAUUCAGUGGGAUUAUCCCUUUUGAAUUGUUUUAAAAAAAAAAAAAGCUGCAGCGAGCGAACCCUGCCUGACAACACCGAAGGAAUUUUUCCCAGGGAUCGGCCGAAAGCUGACUCACAUUUAAAGACUUGCCCAAAGUGGUCAUGCCCCUCUGAGCAAAUACCACAGGCAUGUCAAACCCCGCUCCCCACGGCCCCGCCGCCAGGCCCCGCAGCUGCCCGGCCCGGCCCGGCCCGGCCCGGCCCGGCCCGCGAUUGGGCGAGCGCCGCGCUGCUAAGCCGGGCCAGCCAAUCGCGGCUCCGCUUAGAUGGGCCAGCCAAUCGUGGCGCCGCUUAGCCCGGCGCAGCCAACCGCAGCGCAGCUUAGUCGGGCCAGCCAAUCGCAGCGCCGCUUAGCCGGUUGCUAUCCGGGUCCCGGGUCCUAGGGAGGCGCGGCGGAUGGCGGUUCCUGCUUGUUUUCUGGCCCGCGGGCGGGGGUGGAGUGGCAGGCUCCGGCUGUGUGUUUAGGCAGGUAGAGGCCCGGAGGGAAGUGAAGAGUGAGGGCUGAGCCGCCUACGAGGGAGGGAGGCUGCCUCAGGGCCUUGAGCCGCAAGGUCCCACUGCGGCACGUGAGCUGCUGCGAACUGCCAGGGACUCCGGCGCCGGCGCGGGGCGCAUCCCUGGGAACCCAUCCUUGGGAGCCGCUGACAGUCCAGUUCCAGGCUGCCCCAGAGCUCCAGCACCCGUCAGUCUUUUCUCCUCCAGUUGUGGAAGGCAAGCAGAGGCACAGACCCAUCAAGAGUGCAGAAGGUGCUGGAAAGAGAUAUCAAACGUCCGAGUUCUCUCCGUGUUCACAGCUAAAUACACAUAUAUUUAUGGAGCAUCGAUUAUGAUGAGCCCAGCAGCCCAAGGGUAAACAGGAGAGUUCCCCUCCAGAACUUACUGACUUUCACAAGUUCCACUGAAAAAGAAUAAAAAUGAAAUUUCGAUGGGCAUUCGAAGUCAUUUUAGAUUCUUUUCAACAAGCCGUCCAAGGAAUUCUGAGGCCCGCUAAGGCAGCGGCUGUAAAGGUCUUUGUUGCUGUUGCUGCCAUAUUAAUGACCCAGCUUGGGGCACUGCUGCCGCCGCCGCCGCCGGCCGCUUCUUCCAAAGAAAACAAAUCAAAAAGCAGCAGAAAUAGCCCAAGGUGCUGUUUGGAUGCAGGACUUUUCUCCCCUAAAAUAGGAGUCACCAGCCUCCGCAAAAGUGAGGGUCCAUCCAUCCGUUCACUCUGUUAGUGUGGGACUCCUUCCAGAAACCAUCCUAGAUGAGAAUAAGGCAGCAUCUCCAUCCGGAAGCAUCAGAGGCAAGCUGGUGCCGAGCAAGCAGGAAAACAGAAGCCAGCUUGGGUGUGCCUGGGUCAGCUUCGGUGGGGGUGAGGGGUGGUACCAGCAAGGAAGGCGUCAAGGAGAAGAGGGUGUCUGAGCCGAAACGUGAAAACCAAACGGGAACUCGCUGGGGAAGCAGGGCAAAUGGAUCUGACGUGAAGGGGAAAUGCCCCGUGUGCUCAAAUGCAUUAUGGGAGAGAUCCUAAUUCCUAAGAGGGCAAGAGGGAAGCUGCCUUCCCCCAACUCCUCCCCAGCAAAGCGUCCUCCCCGGGGAGUGGGAACACAGACUCCUGAUUCCAGAAUCUUCAGGAACGACCAGUGGAGGUUUCAGAGGAGCCAUGAGGAGUCAUUUCUGUAGUUUCCGUAUUAAUGAGCCCAGAGGAGCUCUUUCCCAAGACAGCUCCUCUGGGGAACCGAUCUUUGGAGGGAUAUGUUGGAAGGAUUUCCCAGGACCUUCAGAAGGAGUCGAAGUUCUGGAAGAAAAUCGUCUACCCACAGCAUGGAAAGGAACGGGAAGCAGGCUUCAUGGGCGGCAGCCGGGGGCGGAAAUAGACAAGGGAGUCCAAAGUCGGGGUGCAGAAGAGCCUUCAUUCUGUUCCUGAGGAAGAAAUAGUAUCCUGAAGGAUUCCCGAAAAGCUGGACAAUUAGGUGCUAACCAUCAUCUGAGCCUUCGGCAAGUUGCAUUCUUCUUGCAAUGGUAACCUCGAAGAUCAUGGAUCACAGGUCAACCACCACAAAUAUAAUAAUGAUAAAGUUUGAAAUACUGCGAGAAUUACCCAGAUGUGGCACGGAGACAUGAAGUGAGCAAAUGCUGUCGGGAGAAUGGUGCCGACAGACUUGGUUGACGCAGCGUUGCCACCAACCUUCAAUUUGUGAAAAAUGCAGUAUCUGUGAAGAGCGAUAAAGCAAAGCAUAAUACAAUGAGGUCUGCCUGUAAUUGGAGCCUCUCCACCAGGAAGAUGAUAUUUGGAUAGAGACCUUGAAGGGAGUCAGGAAGCAAGCCCUGUAGGUAUCUGGGGAGAAGCCCGUGCAGACCUGGAAGUGGGACCAGGGCCAGCGUGUGUUUGAGGUGGAGCGGAGCCCGGGUAGCUGGAGAGGAGCAGUCAAGGGAGAGAGUGAUUGGAAAAGGGGUGGACGGGCCACGUGGCCCCAGGCCAUGGAGGGGCUUGCAGGUCAGUGUCAACACUCGAUUUUUGCUCUGAUUGUCCUGGGAGGCAGGGAGGUGACAUGAUCAGACUUACAUUUUAACGGGAUCACUCUGAGAGCUCUGCUGAGAAUAGUGUAGGCAACACGGUAGAAGCAAGGAGUCCGGUUAGGAGGCUAUUACACAGUGGAUGGUCUAGGGAGCAGCCUUGGAAGAGGUGAGAUGUGGUUAUAGUGUGUACAUAUUUUGAAGGUAAAGAGAGUAGGG